AAAAAGACGAAAAUGGGUUGACCGCUUUGAUGACUGUGCAGGAGGGCAUGCUGGCUCAAACAUUUGAAGGGCUGGAGGAAAGAAAAAGCCACCAGAAGAACAUCAACAUACAAGGGAUGGGCAAAAGAAGAUCUGGAGCCAUGAAAUGAUGGAUCCGAUCCCUCAAAGCUUGGAGCUUCCCACAGAGGGAUGCCCUUCAGGAGGCUUGUUCAUCCACGGCAGAUUCUACUGUUCCUUAGCAAGUGUGAGCUAAAGGCAACGGAGGCUGAGCAGGCUCUGGCCAAUCUAGAGCCAGGGGCUCUGCAGAAUCUGAGAAGGAAGUGAGAAGAUGUGAAAGGAGUGUAUGAGGUCAAAGCCGAGGGGCCCAGCAGGGACAAGACUGGCCAGAUAAGUAGCUGACAGGUAUUCAGUGAGAGUCUACUAUGUGCGGGUACUCUGCAGGAGAAUAAUGUAAAAACAGAAACGGUCUCCGCCUUAUGGAAAUCAGACUUCAUAAGGCCCUAUCUCAAUAGAACAAUUAUUCGUACAUUUCUCAAGGGCACCUGUGAAAAGUACAUUAAGGAGAGAAGGUCCCCGAGGCAAGCUUAGAAGAUGAGAUGGAGUCAACCCAAACAAGAACAAAACAUCCCCAAAGCAAAACUGUCUGCCAAAGCACUGAAGCAAGGGGAAGCAGCCCUCGGAGGGAAGUCGAGGCAGGAUGCAGUGGCGGAGGCAACGGGAAGAGGGUCUGCCUAUGCUGUCCAGGCAGUACUGAACUUAUGUACUCAAGCAAUCCUUGAGGCUCCAGGCACAUGCUACCAUGCUUGGCCAUCAAAUAAGGGUGCACCAACACACAGCACGGUAUCCAGAGUCUGUCUGCUGAGCAGAAGAACCACAGGAGUGGUGAUCUGGGAGACACAGGGAUGCUGAAGCACCAGAGGAUGGUAACUGUUCUGGCCCUCAGAGGUGUCUACACUGAGCAGCGGAGAGCAGAGGACUCGAAAGCUGAGUUGCCCUUCCCAUGCCUCCCUCAACCUCUCCCAGCCUGUAAACAGGAAGCCAGGCUUGGGUCCCUGCCAGGGCCCAGGCUCGGGCAGGAAGCUGAGGAAACAAGUGUGGAAGACUCUCCUCAGCACAGAAGAGGGCUCCUGAGAAAUUCCUGGGAAGGGAAAUAAAGCCAGCUCCCUGCAGAACUCUCCCAGAGGAGGAACAGCCUGGGCUGCUUGCAGUCCCUAGUUGGGGUCAGACAUGGCUCUAGCAGGAUUCAGUGAGAGUAGAUCCAAGUCAGGACCCUCCCCUCAGGGAAGCACAGGCCACCAGGGAGGCAGAUGGAGUCUGUGAGGCCCGAAGCUGUUAGGGCGUCUUGGGUUGAUGAGGAAGGAAAUGGUGGUGUGGGUUAAGGGCAGCGUGGGGAAAGCAGACGCACAGGAGAGAGGGCCAGGGGUACUAAUGGGGACAGGGAAACUCCUAAUGAAAUAAUGGACCAAUGACCAUCAGGGACUGCUGAGAACAUUAGGUAAAUGAUGCUGAGGAACCUCUGUAAUGGGUUGUAAUCAGGCUAACUGCCCCAUCAAUCAGUCUGAACACCACAAAAAGUAGGACAACUGUGCCGAGGACGAUGUACACCUCAGAGGGAAGAGGGAAAUGCACAGCGCAUCUACCAAGCAUUCUUUACACAAAGUUGAAUCUGAAUCUGAUCUACUACUAGUUUACAGAAAUGUAGGAAAGAGAAGAACGGGAUUAAAAAUAUCACAGGGAUGUGAUCAACAAAAUCCAGAAGGUAGGAAACUGGAACAACAAAAGAUUUUCAAAUCUUUUUGAAAUUGCAAGAAAAGAAAAAGUAGAAGGGAGGACUUUAGGUUGAAGAAACAUCAGCCAGGAGAAGGUAAAAGCCCACGAUGCACAAGCCUGACAAGCUGGGUCUGAUCCUGGAACCCAAGAUGGAAGGACAGACUGACUCUAUAAAGUCAUUCUGAUCUGUGUGUGUGUGCGCGCGCGCAUGCACGCGCACACACACAUACACACACACA